UAAACGAAUGGAGGAAGUGGCUUCUAGCGACGGACACACACAGUGCCAUUUGAUAUUGCGAAUGCUGGAGUCUGGUUAUUGAGUAGACAGAUGCUUGCUGGAGCUUCCAGUGAAACUUUAUUUACAAAAUCAUGCGCCAGUCCUUGGGCCCUCUUUUGCAGCAUCUGGUAACCACUGUCCUACUCAAUACUUCUGUGAGAUCAACUUCUUUGGAUUCCACGUAUGAUCACGAUCAUGAGUGCUCACCUCGCUCCAGGCUGAUUUCAGCUCCCACCAUUCAGCCACAUCCACUGCUGCUAAGGUCACCAUAACAUCUCUGGUGCUGAAUCCGAUGGAGAUUUUUUGGUCAUCAUGUUGUACAUCUCCUCUUGGCAGUUUCCAGUAUUGUGAUUCCCUGUCUCCUUGAGACCGUCUCAUCUCUUGGCUUGGAUAACUCUCAGUUUUCAUCCUACCUCUUUAGUCUUCUUCCUUAACUCUUCUGCUUGGCUAAUAUUCUUCUAUGAAACCUUUACAUAUUGCAGUGACUCAUGCUUCAUCCUGAUCUCCCUUCGCUUCUAAAUCUACCCCUUUUCCCUAAAUAAGCUUAUCUCCACCCAUGACCAUUUACCAUGUACACCCUGAGGAUCCAAGUGUGUAACUCUAGAUGACAUCAGGACCCUAUAUCCAUCAUGUAUCCCUUGAUUUUGCUCCUUUUUUUUUUUAACUGAUAGAGUUGAUAAUUUUAUUUUCACAUUUGACAAUACAAAUGAAAACUGCACUUUUUCUGGUCCCACUUCUCCCCUCCAAUACUAUUCUCUUUUUGAUAGGAAGGAGGAGCAAGUCUUCUUUGUCAUGCUGUUAAGAAAACAGCCAGAGUCAUAGCAUCAUGAUCUCCCAGUGAAGCAGAACAAGUAAUAUAAAACUGAUCUAAAGAGGUCUUGCCUCUAUUCUUAUCUGUCUGAUCAAGUCAUUUGGGGCCAAGUGGGCACCAUUG